UCUGGGAAUUUAAUGCAUUAAAUUGGAGUUUAUACAUUUUACGUUUUUGUCCUCAUCAUCUGUUACCCUUCUCAUCAUGUGUUCAAUUUUAGCAGAAACUUUUAUAAGUUAUUUUUGUCUACAGAGAUAAGAUAAGGAUUUGACCAUAUCACAUUACAGAUAGGGAAGGGAUAUGUGGUCAUUUUAUAAAGCUUGUUGCAGUUACAGCAGCCAUUUUUGUAUCUCCGAGAUUUAAAUUG
rnacentral:lncRNA from 1 species